rnacentral:rRNA from 1 species
GAUGAACGCUAGCGAUAGGCUUAACACAUGCAAGUCGAGGGGCAGCAUGGUCUUAGCUUGCUAAGACUGAUGGCGACCGGCGCACGGGUGCGUAACGCGUAUGCAACUUGCCUCACAGAGGGGGAUAACCCGUCGAAAGACGGACUAAUACCGCGUACACUUGGGAUAGGGCAUCCUGACCCAAGGAAAUGAAAUUCGCUGUGAGAUAGGCAUGCGUCCCAUUAGCUAGUUGGUGAGGUAACGGCUCACCAAGGCGACGAUGGGUAGGGGAACUGAGAGGUUGAACCCCCACACUGGUACUGAGACACGGACCAGACUCCUACGGGAGGCAGCAGUGAGGAAUAUUGGGCAAUGGGCGAGAGCCUGAACCAGCCAAGUCGCGUGAAGGAUGACUGUCUUAUGGAUUGUAAACUUCUUUUAUACGGGAAUAACAAGAGCCACGUGUGGCUCCCUGCAGGUACCGUAUGAAUAAGCAUCGGCUAACUCCGUG